rnacentral:rRNA from 1 species
AGAACUUAGCAGAGAUGCUUUGGUGCCUUCGGGGAACUCUGAGACAGGUGCUGCAUGGCUGUCGUCAGCUCGUGUUGUGAAAUGUUGGGUUAAGUCCCGCAACGAGCGCAACCCUUAUCCUUUGUUGCCAGCGGGUUAUGCCGGGAACUCAAAGGAGACUGCCAGUGAUAAACUGGAGGAAGGUGGGGAUGACGUCAAGUCAUCAUGGCCCUUACGAGUAGGGCUACACACGUGCUACAAUGGCGCAUACAAAGAGAAGCGACCUCGCGAGAGCAAGCGGACCUCAUAAAGUGCGUCGUAGUCCGGAUUGGAGUCUGCAACUCGACUCCAUGAAGUCGGAAUCGCUAGUAAUCGUAGAUCAGAAUGCUACGGUGAAUACGUUCCCGGGCCUUGUACACACCGCCCGUCACACCAUGGGAGUGGGUUGCAAAAGAAGUAGGUAGCUUAACCUUCGGGAGGGCGCUUACCACUUUGUGAUUCAUGACUGGGGUGAAGUCGUAACAAGGUAGGCGUAGUGCU